rnacentral:rRNA from 1 species
GAACGAUGAAGCCCUUCGGGGUGGAUUAGUGGCGAACGGGUGAGUAACACGUGGGCAAUCUGCCCUGCACUCUGGGACAAGCCCUGGAAACGGGGUCUAAUACCGGAUACUGAUCGCCUUGGGCAUCCUUGGUGAUCGAAAGCUCCGGCGGUGCAGGAUGAGCCCGCGGCCUAUCAGCUUGUUGGUGAGGUAAUGGCUCACCAAGGCGACGACGGGUAGCCGGCCUGAGAGGGCGACCGGCCACACUGGGACUGAGACACGGCCCAGACUCCUACGGGAGGCAGCAGUGGGGAAUAUUGCACAAUGGGCGAAAGCCUGAUGCAGCGACGCCGCGUGAGGGAUGACGGCCUUCGGGUUGUAAACCUCUUUCAGCAGGGAAGAAGCGAAAGUGACGGUACCUGCAGAAGAAGCGCCGGCUAACUACGUGCCAGCAGCCGCGGUAAUACGUAGGGCGCGAGCGUUGUCCGGAAUUAUUGGGCGUAAAGAGCUCGUAGGCGGCUUGUCGCGUCGGUUGUGAAAGCCCGGGGCUUAACCCCGGGUCUGCAGUCGAUACGGGCAGGCUAGAGUUCGGUAGGGGAGAUCGGAAUUCCUGGUGUAGCGGUGAAAUGCGCAGAUAUCAGGAGGAACACCGGUGGCGAAGGCGGAUCUCUGGGCCGAUACUGACGCUGAGGAGCGAAAGC